GGAAGAAAGUGGCACUGUAAAAAGAUGCUCAUUCUCUCAGUACUCACUGCUGCAUAUUUUACUGAAAUUUGACAUUGCGCAUGGAAUAGCAUGACCAAAACCACGGGGAGGGAGGAGUUUCAGAGCUUUCUCCCACUUAAACAAUAGAAAAAUAAUCAAUUAGUUAAAACUCAAUUUAUUCUUCUCUGAAAACUCAUGCUCCCCAUCUGCAAUAUAUAUAUAUAUAUAUA
rnacentral:misc_RNA from 1 species